rnacentral:rRNA from 1 species
GGAGGAAAAGAAACCAACAGGGAUUGCCUCAGUAACGGCGAGUGAAGCGGCAACAGCUCAAAUUUGAAAUCUGGCCGCAAGGUCCGAGUUGUAAUUUGCAGAGGAUGCUUUUGGCGAGGUGCCUUCCGAGUUCCCUGGAACGGGACGCCAUAGAGGGUGAGAGCCCCGUACGGUAGGACCACCGAGCCUCUGUAAAGCUCCUUCGACGAGUCGAGUAGUUUGGGAAUGCUGCUCUAAAUGGGAGGUGUACGUCUUCUAAAGCUAAAUACCGGCCAGAGACCGAUAGCGCACAAGUAGAGUGAUCGAAAGAUGAAAAGCACUUUGAAAAGAGGGUUAAAAAGUACGUGAAAUUGUUGAAAGGGAAGCAUUCAUGACCAGACUUGGGCUUGGUUGAACAUCCGGCGUUCUCGCCGGUGCACUCUGCCAGUCCAGGCCAGCAUCAGUUUGCCCCGGGGGAUAAAGGCGGUGGGAAUGUGGCACCCUCCGGGGUGUGUUAUAGCCCGCCGUGUAAUGCCCUGGGGUGGACUGAGGAACGCGCUUCGGCACGGAUGCUGGCGUAAUGGUCAUCAAUGACCCGUCUUGAAACCACGGACCCA